rnacentral:misc_RNA from 1 species
AAUGAUUUUCUUCGUUAUAUGUGGGUUUAAUUAGCAAUUUUUGUUCCUGGGUUUGAUUAUUAUAGCAUUAUUCCUCAAUUUCUUGUCAAACGACCUUUGUUACAAGUAUAUGGGUUUACAGAAGCUAGACAAUGUAUUAUACAUAUCUCUUUUUCGGUUUUGGUGCUUUCCCUUGUGGCAUUUGUUCAUAUAAAUGCCCCAUUUCUUAGUUCAUAGCCUGUCUUUGAUUCUUUAUAUUCUAAUCAACAUUUCAUUUUUGGGACAUAAUUAUUUAAUAUCUAAAUUGGCACAAUCAUUUGAUGCAGCAGAAGUAAUUAACUUGAUAGUCCAAUGCUGGAAUACCUAUCCUAUAUAUCAUUCAUUUCCCCUUAAAAUUUUCUGAAAUACCAACGAAAAAAGGUGUAGGAAUGCCGCCUUCUUAAUCUGCUAUUGUUGUCCAUGGAUGGUUGUUCCUGGCUCAUUCUUUUAUUUACAUCCCCAAGAUCUCAUCUCUGUUUCUGUUGAAUUGCUUGUUUACAUAAUUGUAAUUUUUCACCUGAAGCUGGUAAUUUCAU